GAGAUGCUGUAACCCAGGCUGGAGUGCAGUGGUGCAAUCUUGGCUCACUGCAACCCCCACCUCCCAGGGUUCAUGUGAUUCUCCUGCCUCAGUCUCCCACAUAGCUGAGAUUACAGGUAUGCGCCACCACGCCUGGCUGUAUUUUUAGUAGAGAGGGGGUUUUGCCAUGUUGGCCAGGCUGGUCUUGAACUCCUGACCUCAAGUGAUCUGCCUGCCUCAGCCUCCCAAAGUGCUGGGAUUACAGGGGUGAGCCACUGUGCCUGGCCAGAAUUCAUUACUUUUUUAUUGUGGUAAAAUGUACAUAAUAUUUAUCAUCUUAGCCAUUCAUAAGUACACAAGUACACCAUGAAUACAUUUAAUGCUGUGGUACUAAAUUCAUUCACGAUGUUGUGGAAACAUGACCAUAGUCUGUACCCAAAACUUCGCCCGUCAUCCCUAACAAAAACUCUACCCAUCAACCAAUAACUCGCCCUUCCUCCCUUCCCCUCAUUUGCUGCCUCUAGCUAUCUUUCAUUAAGUUUUUAUUGUGAAAAUUUGCACAACACGGAAGUUAUCACUGUAGCCAUUUUUAAGUGUACAGGUCAGUGGCAUCAAGUACAUUUAUAUCGUUUGUAACCAUCACCACCCUUCAUCUCAGAACUUUUUCAUCUUCCCAGAUUGAAACUCUGUACACUUUCAACCCUAACGGCCCGUUCUGGCCUCUCCCAGACCCUGCAAGCGGGGGUUAUAUGAGGUGAACAUGGGCAGAAAGACUCCUUCGUGUCUCUGUGAAUUUGCCUGUUCUAGGUAGCUCAUCUAAGUGGGAUCAUGCAAUAUUUGUCCUUUUGUGUCUGACCUGUUUCACUCAGCAUGUCUUCGAGGUUCAUUUUUGUGUGGCAUGUGUCGGAACUUCAACCGUCUUUGGAGACGGAAUGGCAUUUGUAUGUCUACACCGUAAUUCACAAGUCCAUUCAUCUGUAGCUGGACACUUGGGUUGUUCCACCUUCUGGCUGUUGUGAAUGAGGCUGCUAUGGACAGGGGUGUAAGUAUCUCUCUGAGACCCUGCUUUCAAUAAUUUUGCAUAUGUGCCCAGAAGUGGGAUUGCUGGACCACAGGGUAAUUCUAUGUUUGAUUUUUUUUUUUUUUUUUUGAGACAGAGUUUCGCUCUUGGUGCCCAGGCUGGACCGGCUCUUUGCAGUGUGAAAGCUUCUCUGGCUGGUCUGCCACGCUGGGUCCUGUCCCAAGCCCCGUCCUCACUGCGGAGUCGUGUCUUCAUUCUGAUUCCUGCCCUGGGUGUGUUGCCCUCACAAGCAAGGCUUUCCUGUGUGUGUCUUGUGGGAGGCUGACAUGGUCCCUGCCCCUGCUGGAGCAGCAUCUGUGUUUGGAGGAGGAAGGGUGCCUCUGGGUGGGGGGUAAGGAACAGGUGUCCUUCGUCGGGGGGACCCACUGGGACUUCGCUGUCUUGUUAGUCUAGCAAGUGGGCAGUUCUGGCCAGUUCUCCGUCUUGCAGGGGUUGGCCCUCCCUCCCGCCUUGCUCUAGGCCCUUUAGGCGUGAAGGAGGCUCCAUUUGCUAAGGAAACAGUAUGAGGAGAGCAGAAACAGGAACAGCUUAGAGGUCUUGCCAGCUCCUGCGCCACCCUGCUCUGGCCACGGGGUGGGUGGCUGUGUCGGGGCUGUGCCUCGCUCUGCCUGUCCUGGCUGGACGUGUGGGCUCACCCCCACCCUGCCGUCUUCCUCCACUCAAUUCCUUCUGGAUUAGCUCCGUGUAGCAUUACCCCAAAAACUCCGUCCAAGUUGGCAAGAAUCGCACAUUGGGCUGUUUGGCUUUUAAUAAAGUUUAUGAUUUAAGUCUUGUGCUCUUAACACCUUCUUUGCAAGCCUCAGAGGGAAACAACAAUGUUGAAGUUGUUUACUCAUUUCCUUCAUCACAUGGAGACCCUCACGCUUGGCCAGGGCCCGUGUGUGCGUUAACACAGAGUCAGGUUGUGUGGCUGUACACACACACACACACACACACACAUGUGCACUCAGAGGAGAGGAGGAAUCUUUGGGAAGACUGGCUGUAUUUCAGUACCUGGCAAAUUUCCAGAACAUCAAAUGAGCCCUUAAGCAGGAAGACUCCUCUGCAGAACUAACACCUGCAGUAGAUUCUGAGCGUUUGCUUCCUCACCAAAGUCAGUACUGUUUCCCUGGAAACACUGCCCAGCAAGUUUCCAAGCAGGAGCCAGCCGGCCAAGGCCGACUGAACGCAACCCUGGGUGCCGGGCCCUGCUGUGUGCACGUCAGGCCUCACGCGGUCCCCUAGUCCCCCACCCACCUGCUUUCAUGUUCAAGGCCAAAGUUCCCACAAUUCCAGGCCCUACUUUGCCCUGAAAUGGAGAGCUGGUUCUUUGCCAUUCCGCAGGACAAGCAUCCGGUCCCCCACUGCCCCGUAGGCCCCACAAAGGCUGU
rnacentral:lncRNA from 1 species